UAUCUCUGUAGAGUCUGCAUAUCAAUAAGCGGAGGAAAAGAAACUAACAAGGAUUCCCUUAGUAACGGCGAGUGAAGCGGGAAGAGCUCAAAUUUGAAAUCUUCAAGGUUCUACCUUGACGAAUUGUAGUUUAAAGAAGUGUUUUCUGUUAGAUGAGUAGCAAAAGUUCCUUGGAAUGGGACAUCAUAGAGGGUGAGAAUCCCGUAUUUGGUUAUUCAUUCUAGCUUUGUGAUACACUUUCAAAGAGUCGGAUUGUUUGGGAAUGCAGUCCAAAAUGGGUGGUAAAUUUCAUCUAAAGCUAAAUAUUGGCGAGAGACCGAUAGCGAACAAGUACCGUGAGGGAAAGAUGAAAAGAACUUUGAAAAGAGAGUUAAACAGUACGUGAAAUUGUCAAAAGGGAAGCGUUUGACACCAGUGUUGUUUUCUCGAAAAUCAAUUACGAAUGGCUUGAUUUUGUGUUGUAUUGACCUUAUCAGCUUUCUUCACUUUUUUCGAGUCUUUCUUAAUGCACUUUUCGGUUAACAAGUCAACAUCAAUUUCUUUUGUUGUAAAAGAGUAUUCGGAAGGUGGCUUUCUUUUCGGAGAAAGUGUUUAUAGCCCUAUACUUCUACAAUCGGAGAGAUUGAGGUCUGCAGCGUAGAUCCUUCGGGGUUAGAUACACUUGUGCUAAGUUGUAGCUUUUCAUAGACAACUUGUUGACUAUGUUUAGUCAUGCGGCUUACUCGCUUGUGCUAUUUUACCUACGCUUAGGAUGUUGACUGAUAUGUAGUCGUA
rnacentral:rRNA from 1 species